rnacentral:tRNA from 1 species
GGAGAGGUGGCAGAGUUCGGUUGAUCGCGCACGACUCGAAAUCGUGUAGGGGGUGUGAAAGCUCCCUCGUGGGUUCGAAUCCCACCCUCUCCGCCA